rnacentral:lncRNA from 1 species
GCAAGAGGUCUCCCAACACACAGUGGAAAUCUAGCAGCAAAGAAUGAAUCACCUGAAUAUUCAUGGUUUCACUCGCACGCCAGGAUAUUUAUAAGGUCACGCUCUGCCCAUGGUGGACAGACAGAGAUCUCCUGAGCUUUGGGAUGUCUCUGACUCUCAGCCACUCUUGGAAUCAGGAGAAGAAAGAGCAAAAGACAGGAAGCGGCUGAACUCAAUCCCCUCCCCAUCUCACGACUGCC